AGGGUUGUGGCUUAGUGGUAGAGUGUUCACCUAGCAUGUGUGAGGUCCUGGGUUCAAUCCUCAGCACCACAU
rnacentral:tRNA from 1 species